UGAGAAAACAACCAUUGCAAAUUUGCAAUAUUGCAUAGUGCCGUGACUGCCAUCACCUAGGGCUUUCACAGCACUAACACUCCCAAGUCCCAAGUCCCAAUUCCCAAAUCGAAGCUGCUCUCUGCCUCUCCGGCCUCCGCCAGUCCGCCGCGCUCUACGUCUCCUGUCGGCUGUGUCCUGCCGUGCUGGUUCAUCGCUGCCGAGUGUCGAAGACGAAGCACCAAGAUCUCACUAGUUCAUCGCUGGUUCAUCACUGCUCAUCUCUGGCUCACUUAGUUAAAUCCAAAGCCUAAAUAAACAUUAAAGAAGAACUGCUUUCCUUCCCGCCAAAAGCACUAUCAGCAUUGUAGGCAGAAAGGGCUAGAGUCUCACGGAGGGGUCAUCGAGCUAGGUCAGAAUUCCGGUUCUAUAAAACUCCAAAACCACACCACCCUCUACUCCAAUUAUGGCUGAGGUUACAAUUUUUGAAGGCAUUAGGGCUCAAAAUCUGACCUUCACAGAGAAUUUGAGGUUGUUAGGGGUCCAGCUAUGGCAAGUAGUGAAUAAUAAUCGUCGUUCACUCCUUGGCAUUGCUCAAUUCACCCUGUUAGCGGUCGGAUGGGUGAUGUUCGCAUUCUUCACCGACGACGGCAACCGGAUUGAGGGUAUUAUAAUGCCAGAGUAUGAGUAUUUUGGGGCAGCUACUUUUCUGACAUUUGCGGGAACAAUUGGAUGUUAUUGUUCUCUGUUGGUUGUGUGGCUUACUCAAAAGUCGAUACACUGCUUGAGGCAGUGUGGGUUCAACGGAUUAUCUAGUUCUGUCACUUUCGUUGCCUCUGCGAUCUUCAGCGCGUGGUAUCUGUUCUUAUCCGCUUUCUUGGGGCUUUGUGUCGUGGAGGACGUGACUUCCUUUGAUGCUAUGGUGGCGAUUACAUGGGGGCUAUUUGUUUCUAUGCUGUUUCUGGAAUUGCCGGAUGAUUUUGGGCUCACCGAUUCCUUUGUAGCUGCCAAUUUUGGCAUUGCAAUCAAAUUAUCUGCAUCACAUUCUAUCUGUCCAUCAAAAUUGUUUGCCAUGCAUCUGUCCACCGCUACCUGUUCAUCAGAAUUGUUUGCCAUGAGUCCGUCCACUGCACCGUCAACAUCUCCCGGUCUAGUAGUUCUGAAGAGGAUUGCUAUUGCCUUCACCCCAUUAUUGGCAAAGAUGGUGGUUACACGUGUCCUAGGCUUAUGGACUCACAGGCAAGAGGAAGAGCUUGUUGCUGGAUUCGCAGAUGCGAGUCCAGAAUAAGCUGCUUAGCAUGACUUGAAAGAAUAAAGAAGACAAUGAAGAAUAAAUGCUGGGGAAAAGUUACCUAUGCUGGUGGUGGCAUUUGGAUUUUGUGGAUGUUUAAGAAUAAAUAAGCAAAUCUGAUUAGCACUCUACCUCUCUCACUAAGCACCGGUUGCCUAAAUAGAUGGUGAAUGUUGAUCUGGCCAUCUCCAGCCAUGGAGUGAUCGUUAGAAUUGAAUAGGGAUAUGGCUUGUCAAGCAACAAGACCACUUGAUUGGAAAUUUGGCAUCAAAGCUGCUGCAAAACUCCAAUGGGAAAUCCAAGCAGCUGCGCCACUUCGGACCACCUCCUUGCACGGUCUUGGUUGACAAGAACACUAGCAUCAUCUGCCAGGGCAUCGCCAGCGAAAACAGAAGCUUACAAACUGAACAAGCCACCAAAUUCGGCACCAUAAUGCUAUUGUUGGAUAUUUUACUCCUAAUGGCGAGCCAAAGGCAGAAAAGAAGCUGAUGGGGGCAGGCUGAUUGGAAUGAAAGGACGCAGGGAAAGAAAAAGGAUGGAAGAUGAGUAAACGGAACAAGCUGGGAGAAAGAAGCUGUCUGCUUCAGCCAUUUGCAUCUACUACUGAGAAGUUAUAAACUCUGUGACAAUCAUUGUUUCCUUUUUGUCAUGUUUUACUCCUCAAGAACUAGAAAAAGCAAUGGAUGAAAAUUAUGGGAAAAUAGUUGAUGAGAAAGCUCAUAUUCUAAAAGUCAAGAUGGAACUAGAUGAUCAGCUAGAAUAACUCACUUCAGAAUCUGAUCAUUAAGGUCACAUGGAGCUGGAUCAGCACUUACUCUCAGAAGGAAAACCCCACAUUAUUAAUCUCUUCUCUCUUCUAAGGUCCCCUUUCCAAAAAUUUAUUGAUGAGUAGAUUAUAUGAUGCAUGCAUAAGCUUUUAAGGCUUAAACUGUGUGCUUUUUGUGCCAGGUUCUAAGAAGGUUCAAAAAAACUGAAAAUUGUCCUGUUUCUAAAAUUGACAAUCAACAACCGAGGUACAACGUAUCUCUAAAAAUCACCGGCCGUUUCAGCUCAUCUGUUAAUAAUCCUUGGAGGUUCAAUGCCCAUGUCUCCGCAAGUUCAAUCUUAGCUUCUCCGUCCUGAAUUUGCAGCUUAUCUUCAGCAGAGCAAAACUGUGAAGAAGGAGCUGAGUAUACGCUGCAGAGCCACCCGGGAGAAGCGGCAGGGCCACUAUCAGACUUCAAGAAGCAUAAUCAGCUUGCAAGUGCCAUUUCGAAGUCGCGGCUACUUGCUCAGCGAAGGAUUUUGAUCCGCCUCUGCUCAGCUGUUGCUUCGUCGAGGGAGAUUCAUCGUGGAAUCAUUUUUUGUUCUGCCUUUUAGACUUCAGAGUGCUUCAGGUGCGGCUUUAGCAGAUUUGCAUUUGAGGAGCAGGUUGAGGUUAGUCCUGGACUUCCUGUGCUUAUGAUUAUUUUACUGGGCAGUCAUGUUUACUAUCUAAUCUGGCUGAAUAGCUGUGUAUGUUCUUCUAAACUUUGAAUAAAUGCAUUACAUAUUUGGCUGUCAAACCAGCUUGUUUAAUUUUUUGAUAUUACAACAGUUCAAAGCUGUUUGUUAGAUGCUCGAUAUCUUCAAAUAUUUGUGAAGAUGGUGAAGUUUUUCUUGCACUAUAGGAGGUAGCACUGUAUAUGGCUUACAAGUUCUCAAUUGUGUACAUUGGUAUUAUUCAUAGCUUGUGCUGGCCAUGUGAUUUAAUCUUACCAUUUUGUAAAUAACGUCUGGACCAUAUAGCUAACACAUAAAUUCAGAUGCUGUAAUGUAUGUAUUCGAACUGCUGAAAUAUGAACCUGAUUACAGCUAUGCUAUCAAGCUGUUCCUGCAACUAUUUGUGCAUAUAUUCUCUGUUUCUAGUAGAUAUGGUUUUGAUUUUUAAUACUGGUUUAGAUAACACUUGCAUUUUUCUUAGCCUCUAUUUUUCCAAUCUAGUGAUGUACUAAACUGGGUUUGAUCACUAUUUGUCUGUGAUGGUCUCCGAUUAUUUUGGAGUGUGUUCCAAUCACAUGCUAGGUAUGUCAUGGAGGCAUUAUGGAAGUGAUCUCCAGUCAUGAGGUUCUUGGUGAAUAGACGUCCUUAAGUAUGACACAUACUUUUUGUAAGUUCAUGCUAGCUAUGUCUUGCACCUCCCGUCCUCUCUGAUCAAACGUGGUACGGAAUUGACAUGUUGAACUAAGAUGAAAUUUUGGAAGAUCAUACAUCUCAUUCUGUAUAGGGUGACCGGAGAUAUGUGGUGCUCAAUCGGAGUUGCUCGCUAGUCAAGAAAAAUUCCCCCCCUAACUUUUUAGUUAAAAUUUGGAGAAUGACUAGCUUUCUAUAGAUGUCCCAUGCCCCCAGCAUAGUUUGUAAACUUUCUUGCAUGUUUCAAUGAAGAUUGUGUUCUAUUCUGGUUCUCA